CACGAUACUAGUAGUUAUUCCAGUGUUUUGAUAAGAAAACGAUCAAAGAGAAUAAAAUGACAAAACGAUGGAAAACGAAUUCGUUGUUACGAUAAGAUUGUAGACGUGGUAUCGAGUCUUUCUCGUCGUAGUUGUCGUCGUCGUCGUCGUCGUCGUCGUCGUCGUCGUCGUCGUCGUCGUCGUCGUGACGACAUCGAUGUUGGAAUCCGAAGAGCUGGACCGUCCUGCUACGAUCCAGCAUCAUUACCGACAUCACGGAGUGCUCGUUAGUCUCAUUUAUAUUCGCAUGUGCCGUGUACGACUUACGUUAUGAGAGAAAAAGAGAGAAGGAUAGAAACGGCAAGAGAGUAUAGUGUGUGUGCAUGUGUAAGAUAGAAAGAGGAAGGAAAAGAGAUGCUGAAACUCCAAACUGCUCUCUCCCAAUGGCAACGGUUGCAGAGGCUGGGCGAAUGGUCCCGUCCUUGUCUCUCCUCUUCAUUUCUCUCUCUCUCUCUCUCUCUCUCUCUCUCUCUCUCUCCUUCACUCCUCCCGAUUCUCCGUGUAAUGCAGCGCGCAUGACUCAUGGCUUUGCUUGCUCUCGCAGAGUUCUCCGCGUUCUUUAGAAACCUUCCGCCUCGGUAGUAAUGCCUUUUUUAACGAGGCAAACUCGCCCGUCAUUGUCAUCACGGGUCCUUCGCGAAGUUUCACGAGGUUACCUUUAUUUUGUGAAAGAGUAAAAGGGGAGAAAUACACAUAGAAAUAGAGAAAGAGAUAGAUAGAAAGAAAGAAAGAAAGAAAGAAAACGAGAAAGAGAGAGAGAGAGAGAGAGAGAGAGAGAGAGAGAGAGAAAAGGAAAGAGAGGGUGCAGAACGUGUUUUGGGUAGUUCGCCUUUAAAAACGCGAGUAGGUGAAUUUCGUGCGGUUCGCUUCAAAGGACCUUCUCGUUUUACUCACAUUGUCGUUACGAGACAAGUUACCAUGUACUGUUUACAACAAAAGGACCUUUUUAAUGCAGCUAAGUAAAAUGAAUGAACCAUCUAGGUUUAUAUAUGAAAGAGACAAAAAGGAAAUUACGCACGAUUCCUCGCGAAUAAAAUACUUUUUUUUUUCUUUUAAGAAAUCUAUCUUCGAUACAUUAAUACUCUGAAAGAAGAAAUCGCAAGAAUUAUUAUUUAUCUUUUCUAAAAAAAAAAAGUUAUGCUAAUGAGGAUAUUGAGAAGGGAGAGAUAGAGAGAGAGAGAGAGAGAGAGAGAGAGAGUAUGAGGUGUUGCCAGCUAUAGUGUAGGAUAUUCGUUAUCAUUAAUCACACGUAUUGAUAGACGAGCACGAGCGUGAAUAAUCGGCACGAUACUUGCUCCAUCAAUGGUCCUUUUCUUUCGAACCAAUUACCCGUAAACUCGCGCGCACGUUUCAAUACCUCGACGAUCCUUGUAAAAAUGAUCGAAGAAAUUGUUUCAGUAUCGGAAACGAUAAUGAUUCGAAAAAUAAGGAAGAAAAAAGGAAAAAUAAAAGAGAAAUAAUACAUCGAUAGUUCUAAGAAAUUUUUCUUUUCCCCUCUCAUUCUUUUUCUUUCUUUGUCAAAGACGCAAACUAUCUUUGUACUCUUUCGAUACAAAUGAUAAGAUUACCAAGAUCAAACAAGUAAUUGUAAGAAAGGACGAAUUCGAAGGUGUCUUUUCUCUCAAUGAGGGUUAAGAGGUAGUCUGAUAAAGGUUCUUUGGUGAACAUCAAGAGAGAGAGAGAGAGAGAGACAGAGCGAGAGAAAGAGAGAGAAAGGAAAGAAAGGAUAAGAGGCUCAUUGGAAAGGCCAUGAAUCGGAAAAAGAAAACGAUGGAAGGACGAAGUCUCGCGUAGCAACACACGCUGCAUUACAAGUCCCAUACAUACUCGAUUCAAUCUUCCUGCAGUUGCAUACCUUCGACGAGAAGAAUAAGACAACGACAACGACGACGACUACGACAACGAAGAAGAAGAAUAAAGGAGGAUGAAGAAACGUCUAUCGACAUAGUAACGUCGAUAUCAUCGAAGUGAAGUUAGGUGCGAACGUUGCGUGCAUUGGCAUGAAAAAAAUGGAAAAUGAUGAGAAGGGAAAGGAGAAGGAAAAGAGGCAAUAUUUCCUACCUAUCUUUCUAUAGUCUGUAAAAUUCUCGAUUUCCGAUAGGAAGGAGAAUAUGAGAGAGAACUUAUCGAUAGUACGUAUCAAUACGAGAUAAGACGAUAUUGUAUAGGAUAUAAUCGUAAAGAAAGAUAUAGAACGUCGUAAGAUAUAUAUAUAUAUAUAUAAUUCUCUGAAAAUAUGUUUCUCUGAAAAAAAUUAAUCAAUCGGAUUGCUCCUUAUCAAAGAAAAUAUAGAUACGUAUUAAUGAUAAUUGUUUUAUCGACGAUAUAACUUAUUAGAAAAUAACUAUAUUCGUUUGUUAAAAGUCCUAUAUUAUUAAGAAAAGAAAUAGAGGAAGAAUAAACUCGGCGAUUAAAUUUUCAGAAAGAAUACUUACAAUUUCUCGACUAGACUCUAUUCUAAACUCUAGUGAAAGAUAAUGGCGAUGCAUGUACAGGUUAACGUUCCAAGAUAUAAAGUCUUGAAAUAAUGCGUGAUAAAGUAUAAAGCGAGCGAGCGAGCAACUUUAUCGCCGAGUAAAAACCUUCUUCUCAAGAUCUAUCGUUUCUUUUUCUACCGCGGCAGAACCUUUUUCCUCGUCAAUUCUCUAAUAACCUAAUAACUUAAGUACGGUCACCCGAUCCCUCCUUUAUUUUCAAAAGGAAGAACACGAUAUGGAACGUUGCGACUCCCUUCGAAAGUUUUAAACCUAAGAAAUUUACUCCACUAUGUGAACGUUGAGACGAGAGAAUUCUCUUAACAUUUCAACGCAUUGUUUCGCUUAUACGUAUGUAAGUACUACGUAAAUACAUACGUGCUCGUCGUAGGGGUUUUACUGCUGCCACCGUAAAGUAUUUCGAAAAGACGACCGACUUUCAAAAUCGAAAGUAAACUUAAAUACCAUUGUUUAGAAGAAACGUGACUAAAUAAAGUGGAGCUUCAUCGAUACUGAUUAUUUAAAAUCGAUGACAAUGAGAAAUGUUGAAACGUUGCUUAUAAAUAGAAAAGAAUAAAAAAAAAGUCAUUACGAAACGAGUCGUUGAUCUUUACGGUAAUUCUUGUUUAAAAAAAAAAUAACCAUUAUUUUUAAUGAAUUGUAUUGGGUAAAAACCCAAGAGAAGGCGGUAGAGUGGGGGAAUGAAAGAAAGAAUAUGAAAUAAAAAAAAUAUAAUUUUAGAAGGCAACUGUAGUCAUAUGCAGAUAAGAAAAAGUUGAUACGAACGAGGUUGAAAUGCCCAUUGGUAAGGUAUCGUAACCGAAAGAUAAGAGUGCGUAUGUAAACAUUUCUGGUUUUCAAAGAGGAGGGUCGAGAGAACGUACGAUCAGUGCCAGACUUCUCGCUUGAAGCAUAUAAGACGCGCGCGACCACAGCUCGUCGGCCAACCCCAAUGGGUUAAUAAAUUUACGUUUGUUUGUUCGGGACGCCACGAAGAGACCCUUUCGGUUAUCACCUAUUUAAUCCUAUCUAUUUUGAGAACGGUAAACGACACCACUACUGCUAACCUAAAUCCAUUCUUAAAAUCUAACUCACGGUCAUUAUUUAUCGGUCAUUAUUUAUCGUCCCGAUAAAUUAGUACAAGUUUUUUCAAAAAAACGAAAACAAAAAAAAAAGAAAAAAAAAAGAAAAAGCAAAAAAAAGAAGGAGAAAACAGGACAAAAUUUUCCACAAAUAUUCGAUAUGGAAUCGUUAUAAGAGAAUUACUUCUUAGAAAAGGAAUCAGUAAAGAUUUACGAUUAGAGUUCGAAAAAACUAAGUGUAGUCUCAAGCACGCUUUCAUGGCAUGGCGUCUACCUUUACUUACACGACGCUCGAAUUACGUGUACUCCAGAAAUAACGCGAGACUUCUUUGUCGAGACACGUAACCCGACUACCACUCGAGAACAAUGCCGGUAAGUCCAAAGGCGCCUCCUUAAGCCUUUCGCAUGUUAUACGUCCGAGCACGCAUAUCCACACAUACACACACAUACAUACAUAUAUACAUACAUACAUACAUACAUGCAUGUAUACGCAUAACGUUCCUACGUUACAAACGUCCACGCAAGGAUCGUCUUAUCGAGUACGAUUGUGUGCGCGAGCAAACGUGACCGUGAGUACUUACUCGUAGAAAACUUUGCCGUUCUUCUCGAGACCAAGCAAAUGCACACAAGGCACGCAUACAAAGAGAACGAUAGAUGUACAAACAUAGGCGUUACGUAGACUCUAAAAAGACAGACUUCUCCAUUCCUUUUCUCCGUUUCUUCUUUCCUAUGGUUUCUCUCACCUUGGUUCACGUUCCUUUUUAUAGUAAGAUUUCUAUAUUUCUUUCUUUUUUCUUUUUUUUCUUAUUCCUUUCUUUUAUACUUACAGAGCAUUGCUCUAAUCUUUCAAUAAACAUUUUCUCUUCAUUCGUCCAUCUAUAUCUGUUUAUCUAUCUGUCUAUUUGUCUGUCUGUCUGUCUGUCUGUCUGUCCGUCUGUCUGUCUGUCUGUUUCUCUGUUUAUCUCUUUCAUCUUUUACAACAGGCAAUAAAAUUCGCGAUCUUUUACUUUGCCAAACAGAGCGCGAGCGUUUUCGAAGAAGUCGAUAAAACGAUUUUUUCUUUUUUGUUAAAGUCGAGAGGUACGGCGCUUCAAGAUUCCCGGGCGAAUGUUCGUAUUCCUCUCUCUUUUCGAGAUCGGCCGCGUUUUAUCGCUUUACCGCUUUUUAACUUUCACGGAAAACGAAAUCUUCUUCUCGAGGAGUAAAUCGUCCGUGUAAUCAUCGCGUCGUCGAGGAUCGAGUCGAAGUGAUCGUCGAUAACGCGGCCAUUUCUUAUCUACUUUCAUCUCCUUUCUUUCCAUAAUUUUUUUUUCCCUUCGUUCCCUUGUAUGCGCAAGUAAGUUCUCAAACGACCCGCCUAGUAUUCCUCAUAGAGAACGUAGAUAUUUAUUUGUCAAAUUGCAAAUCAUCGAUUAUCGGGUUAACGAUGAUACUCUUCUUCUAACAAUUAUAAUUUCAAUUCCACUAUCGUUCGAUUUUAAUUGCAUUAUAAUUUUAAUUUUAAUAUACUCGAAAGAGAAUUACCUAUUCCGCCUACUUUUUCGAAUAAAUCUUGUGUAAUCCGAUUUGUCAAAGUUACAUACGAACGGGUAUAACAUGCUUUCGUACAAUAAUUAAACAAUUCAUAUCGUUUGACCAUGUUAUAUCGAAAUACAUUUUAACGAACUAUAUAAUAACCAUUUAAGAUUGGAGAUUAAAAACCAUUAUCACUUUUUUCUAUAAUUCAAAUAAGCUUCCGUCAAAUACUCUUGGUCCAUGACGUAAAUUGAAUUAAUAAAAUAUUUCAUGUAAUUUAGUUUGUUAAAAUCCCGACGACGGACGAUAUCAUCGACUAAAGUCGAAAAAGAAUUCGAUUUAUUUUUUUUCAAACGAUAAAGCACGAAUGUCCGAGAGGAAGUCACGAGAGCUCGUAAUUCCCUUUUCUCGAAUUUCGAAGGAACGAGUUUACUCACGCGAUCCAAUACUAGGGAGGAAAUCUCUAAAAGGACGACGAUGUUGCGGUUCGUUUUCUCGAGGCGAGUGCGGUACAUAGAUUGGCAUAAAAACAGUAGAAGGUGAGCAAAGGUUUAUUCGAGCGCACAUUAUCUGCAAUAUCGUAUGUACGUGUGAAACUACCACGAUCACAGGACCGAAUUAGAGAAGGAGCUUAUUACCAGAACGGCAGCUGUGCACGGCUAAUCCUAUGUUGCUUGCUUUCCAUGGCCGUAGAUACACCGGAGGUCGACCGACGAACUCUCUUUCUCUCUCUCUCUCUCUCUCUCUCUCUCUCUCUCUUUCUCUCACUCUUUCUCUCACUCUUUCUCCCCCACUCCCUCCGGUAGAAGGGUUGGUUAUUGUCUCUAAUUUAAAGCAACGAUUUCCUGUCACGCUGCCUACGAGCUGUAAGCACUGCGCUACGCUUCUGCCCGUCCAUUCAUUCGUUUCCUCCUCCUCGUGUUCUCGUUUCUCUUUAUCUCCCUCCCUCUCUCGAGGUUCUUGAGAACAGAGUUACAUACAUUACGUAGAUAAGUCAGGCAUCAGUGUGGAGAGACGUGUGGGCUUCCACGACAGUGGCCACCGACGUUGUUGUCGCCGUCGUUGCCAUCGUCGCCGUCGUCGUCGUCGUCGUCGUCGUCGUCGUCGUCGCCGUCGUCGCCUUAGUCUUCGUCUUCGUCUUCGUCUUCGUCUUCGUCUUCGUCUUCGUCUUCGUCUUCGUCUUCGUCUUCGUCGUCGUCGUCGUCGUCGUCGUCGCCUUAGUCUUCGUUCUAGUCGUCGAGGUUUUUCCUCCUUUACUUCUUCUUGCAUUGAAUGCAUAAACGAAGUAGGCAAAAGAAAACGUGUCACGAAUUAAGUAAGAAGAGAGUAAAAAGUUCAUCGCAUAGUUUGGCUUCAUCGACUCAUAAGAACUUAGAAAAGAGGUCUACGCUUACUUUCGUCUUGAAAAAAAAAAAGCUAAGAUAGAGAGUUUUAAACAAUAUCUUAUUAUCGGACUAAUCGAAUUGUUGGUUGUCGAUAAAAUUAUUAGAAAUGUACAGGAAGGCUUACCUAAAUAGCAUGAAAAACCAAUUAAGGAAACCAAGAAAAUUACAAUGUUAUCCUUUGAUUAAAAAUUAGAAUCAAUAUUCUCUCGAUUCGUUAAACGACAAAGAUUUUUCUUUGAAACCUAUAAUUUCUAUCUUUCAUUUAAUUCCAAUUUCAAUAAUUAUUUCAAUAUAAUCUAAGACGCACGUACAAUUCAAUAAAAAAGGAAAGGGACGAAUGAUUCAUUGCUUUUUAAUAGAUAAAAUCUCAUGCGUCUCGAGAAACGAUAGGCACGAAUUUUCGUACGCGAAUGCAAUGAACAUUAGGAAGUCGCACGGAGCGUGCGGAACGAACAAUUACAAUUCGCACCGCGUAGGAAACCUCAAUGUCGACCCACGCGCCUUGUCGUCACGUACGAUGCAAACGACAGGACGAAGAAAAGGAGAAGGAGAAGAAAGAGGUGGAGGUUGAGGUGGAGGAGGAACAGUGCGGCAAACGACUGGCAAAUUGCCAAUUGCCUACAAAACGGACGUCGAUGACGAGAAACCAAACGGAACUCGACGACGAUCGAUGAUCCUACUAUACUACAAUCUUCUUUGAAAAAUAUUAUUUCUUCUUCGUGAAGUGAAAGGAAAGAAGUAAAAUUGAGAAUAGAUGAGUAUAAACAAAAGUCCAUGGAAGAUUCCCGAACAAGAAUGCUACUACCUAACCGCUUUGAAGAUGCAGAAAGAAAGGAAGAAAGGAAUGGAUGGAGUUAUAGAAAGAAAAUUUCAACAGGGAAUAUAUACUUUUUGAUAUCUCUUUUACUGCGCCGACAUAUUUCUACUUUUUAUUUCUGAAAAAUCAUCUAAUCCAGGUGAUAAGAGAAUAUGAAGAAAAUAUAUCAUAAAGGAAAUAACAUGAGAAAAUUGGAAAUAAUCGAAUUCAUAUGGGAAAAUAAUUUUUAUGAAAUGCAAUCGAUAAAUUUGAUUCUGUAUGUAGAUACACACAAUCGCUCGUAAGUUGGAUUGAUCUUAAGCUUAUAAAGGAAAGUAUAUUGAAACGAUUGUAACUAUUCGAAAAUAUCAAUAUAUUCGAUCUGCUUAUGAAUUUUACAGACAUAAAUGAUUUAUGUGUACCUUUCGUAUAGCUCGAGCUUUCUACGGUGUAUGCACCGUUUGUCUCUAAUGAUUCCGACAUUGAUAUCGAAAGCCGAUCCGCUUAAGUGCGUUUGAACUGGAUCACGAGUUCGUGUGUAACCAUAUGGUAUUUUAUAUAACUUGUACAAAAGAAUAUUAAAGAUUAUAUAGAAACAAACGUUCUAUAUGGAAAAUCAAAUUCUUCUUAGAGCGGAGAUCGAUUGUCUUAACAUUUUUCUUUUCUUUGAAAAAAAAUAACUCGUUGCUUGUUACGUCGUUCGUCCUGUUCUAAAGGUAAAGUUCAUUAAAAUUUAUCGAAUUAGAAGUUCCGUGGGCGUUUCUACACCCUUCCAUUCUCAUUAACGUUGAUAUAUUUUUAUUAACGGAGCUGACUUAAUGAUCGCUAAAGAAGCGGAAGUUGAUCGUUUGCAUCAUUCUGGUCCAAGAUUAAUUUUGAAAGAUACAAUGAUGCAAUCGUUUCUAAGAAAAGAUAAGUUCUUGAGAAGAGAAACAAAACAAAAAAUUAGAAAUAAUAAUUAAUUCUGAUUCGUCCGGAAGGGUAUUCUUCUUAAGAAGACAAUAAUAAAAGUCGAAAUGGUUGAAUGAAGCUACGAGACGAUAAACGAAGAAUUGUUUUUCGAUCCUUACGAUACAACUGGCAUUUUCAUUCGAAUACCAGUCGAAAUUCUCCGUGAGAAUUGUAAGAGAAAUCGAGAGCCGUUCAUCGAACGCCUGGUAAACAGGUAUGUGUGGAUAGAAAAGCUUCUACCUGCUGUAGUUACAAGGUUAUCGGAACUCUGGUUCAUGAGAAUGUCUAUUAAAAGAAGUCUUCUAUAAAUUUCAAAGAGAAGCUGUAACGAAUCGAGUCUUUACAUAUUCUAUAAUAAUAAUUAAGCGACAUUAAUAAUACGAUAUUUCAAAAAUUUCAAAUGUAAUAACAUUCUAAUUUAACGAUUUCAUCUAAAUUUGAAACGUAAGAUACUCGGCUAACGUCAUUCCUUCUACUGUGACAAACUUAAUCCUUAAAGACGUUCCUAUACUCGCACAGUAAGAACUUGAAAACAAUGGAAAUGCUUUCUCGCAAAUUCGAAUUCGCGGCAAACGACGAAUUUCUCCUCUUUAAGACUCGUAAGCUACUGUUAUUUCUAUGGCUGACAUUUUCAACCGAUGCAAAUGCCAUCUACAAUAGAAGUGACGUUUUACUAUACAUCUUCUCUCCUCCACUUUAUUGUACUUCGCACACAUUUAAUCCAAAGGCGACAUCGAGUUAUCGUUCGAAAGUCUAUCAAAAGUUACGAAAUGAUAACAUCGAAACGUUCGCGACAAAGCACUCGACACCUCCUCAACUCCGACUCUUCUCCUCAAAACUGAUGUUUCAAACGUAUCCUCCCAACUUAUCUAACAAGUUUCUUUAACAAUAAUAAUCUCUAUCUUCCUCGACGUUUCUCUUCCCUGUCAAACCGAAGAAGUUAAUGUUAAAGACGUUAAUGUUAGCAUUUAAGAUGUAAAACGUGAGAUUUAAUGUAGGUCGUAUUGUCAGAAAAACACUGUUCGAUUUUCAACAAAAAUCCUUAUUGAAAAAUUAAUUACAUAAAUUUAAUUUGAACUUAUCCAUACAUAAAAAUGUUAUAUAUUGUAUAAACAAAUCUUUGACUUUCAUAUUAUUUUAACUUUAGCGUACAGCAAUUACAACAAGUCUAUUCUUAAUUGCUUUAUUAAAUUAGAAAGCCGAAGAAGUCGAAUUUUCAUGAAAAAAUUCUAGCACGAAAAAGGGCCUUUUAAAAAGAAAUAAGCUCGAGUAAUAAUUACACAUAAAAGCAUAAAGAAAUGAAUUCAAACGUUAACGAGUCCUAGAAACAAAACUUUUCGUAGACGUAAGCACGCGUACAGACGGACAUUUUCUCAAUUCGUCGACUACGUUUCCCGAGUUCUUUUCUCCGUAGGUGCACGUGUUGCUCCGUUCCUCGUCUUUUUCAUGCUCUGCUUACGACGUGAGUGGAGGUAAGUUUGCUUCAGGUUUGUAGCUAAGAACGGGAGAAGGAGAAACUUACUAGACAUGCACAAAAGAGAGAGGAGGGGGAAGGGAGAGAGUGACAUUUUCGCCGGUUUGUGUUUAUAGACAAGCUCGCGUAACAUUGCUUUAGCUCGAAUGCGAGUAUGAAUGCGCGUAAUAGUUAUUCGUGAUAACGCGUUAAACGAACGAUAACUAUAUUCCUUUCUUCUUCGUAAUCAUUUCGUUAAUCAUUCUAUCUUAGACAGUAAAAUAAAUGCAAGAAUGUGGAUUCUUUGAUUGGCCUAAGAAAAUUCAAGGAAGAAAUAUCGUUAAAGUAU